CAUUUCUUCUUCUUGUCCGAACCAUUUCUCCAUCUUCUCCAUCUUGAUUUCUUUCUUCUUUAUCUCGAUCUGCAUCCAUGGUCUGUUCACCUAAGCAAGAAAUGGUUGGAUCUUCAAUAGUUUCUCCAAUAUAUCUUUUAAUUGUUUGAAUUUAAUUGUGUCUAUCUCUCUUUAAUUUCUACCUUUCAAUUUUUAUCUUGUUCGUAUUUUCUUGUUUCAGUUCAAAUUCCUUUAUAAAAUCACUAACCAACCUUUGCUUGGUCAUUGACUCAUUUCAAAGUGGAGAUAUGCAGUACAGCAGAUGCCACCAAAUUUUGUCAACAUAGUGAUUCAUAAAGUGAUUUAAUAUUUCCUUAAUGUGCUCUUACGCCAAAAUAUCAAUUUCUGAGAGACUUCCUUUAAAUUUUUAAUUCUGUGGUCAUUUUCGUUGUGGAUAAAAUAGCAGGGUCGUUCACUGCUUCUCGUAACGUGUAGCAGCGAUGCUUGAAGGAAGAUUAUGGAGAUUAAAAUGGUGUUUAAUUCAGUAAUGUUUUACGAAUCGACAGUGCAAUACCUAGCUCUAUUCCAAGAAAUUUUGAAGUCCUAUAAAUAUAAUGGAGAUUUUAAAGAAUGGUUUUCAAAAGUUAAUUCCUCUGUCCAAUCUUCAUUUAUUGUGUGUGUGUAAUGUGUAUAUAUAGAAUAUGACUUGAAGUAGAAAUCAUGGUUUGAUUGAAUUGUUGGAUGAACCCUAGAUAUGAAUCUUGUGAAUGAGAUUGAGUAGUUGGUGGAGAUGAUGAAUAAUGACUUGAGGAUGAAAAUUGAGUUAUAUGGUAAUAUUAUUAGUCUUAAUGAAGUGUUAAGCAUCAGGAACCAGAUUAAUGAAGUCGAAUUACUAUGGAAUGCGAACUUGACGACUCAUAAUAAUUAGGUUAAGCCCUCAAUGAGGUUUUGAUGAGUUAAAAUGGGCAAGUAUUGAUAUGAACUGAUAAUAUAUAUAUAUAUAUAUAUAUUGGAUGUAAUGGGACAUUUGGAGCAUACAUUGACGAUGUUGGGACGUCAGAAAGAAAUUUGGAGCUUACGUUCGGUAUUGGAGUAAAACCAAGAUUGGUUCUCAUCGAUUUAAGGCGAGCAAUGGUGAUUUCAUGUAUAUUGAGAGUGAAGUUAUGUGAAGUCGACGACAAGGCAAAUUUGUUGAAUUAUUGGAGCAACAAUUCAAACUAUGUUACAAUUGGAGAUAAUGGCGGAAGAAAAAGGAGAAGACUAUCCGGCGUUGUAUCUUAAGCAAGACACUAUUAUUGUAAUUGUUGUCAUAGAAAAAUUAUUUGUGAGUAUUUUGAAAUUUAACUAUGUAAUUAUGUGUAAGUUGAAAUCAAUUUUGGAAUCUAAAAUUUUAAUUUUUCGCUACGUUAUAGAAAUUCUUGAAUUAACAAUGCU